rnacentral:rRNA from 1 species
UACAGAGGGUGCGAGCGUUAAUCGGAAUUACUGGGCGUAAAGCGCGCGUAGGCGGUUUUGUAAGUCGGGUGUGAAAUCCCCAAGCUUAACUUGGGAACUGCAUUCGAGACUGCAUAGCUAGAGUAUGGGAGAGGGAAGUGGAAUUUCAGGUGUAGCGGUGAAAUGCGUAGAUAUCUGAAGGAACAUCAGUGGCGAAAGCGACUUCCUGGACCAAUACUGACGCUCAUGUGCGAAAGCGUGGGGAGCAAACAGG